GUCUACGGUCAUACCACUCUAAACGCACCCAACUGCAUCUCAUCCCAGAAGCUAAACAGGGCGGGCCUGGUUAGUACUCGGAUGGGAGAUU
rnacentral:rRNA from 1 species